CACACGACCACAGGAGACCAGCAUGGAUGGAAGGAAUGUCUACUCAAAAACGGCAGGGAAAGGAUUUCUCUCAACGGUCAAGUUAGUAUUGGCCAGAAUAAUGUCUGGCAGGGCCCGCUUCAUGACCUUGGGUUUGACUUUCAGAUUUCUUUCAAGGGGGUGAUUGAUAAUGGUCAGAACAACAUUGGCCUUCCAAUCAACCCUCAGGAUGGGAUGGCUUCUGCUAAAGGACAUAACAGUCCUGGGACAUCCCAACCUCCAACUAACCCACUGGAUGAGGACACCACUAUGGAGUGGACCAACGAGGCAGGAGAGAUUGGACCAUAAGCUAAGGCAGCAAUGAUCUGUGCCAAUGAUGAUCUUCUCUGAGCCCAAGCAAGAAGAAGGGAGAGAGUGCUGUUGCUGACGGCCUUAACUAAAGAUGGGAAAAUUUGCAUUCACUGUUUUCAUUUUGUUCUUCUUGACACUGUGAUAACCAUAAAUGAUCAGAUGAUUCUGAAGAAAGAAAUGACUAUUACCUCUCCCUUUAUUAUUUUUAUUACUAUGUUUUCUCCUACAUAUCUUUCUCCCUCCCCAUAAACUAUGGAAGAGCAACACUGUGAAAAUCAGCGCACAUAUGUAUCAGGGAGCAUCCUCUAAAAUGUACAGAAAGUGUACUCUAAACAGCUAGAGGUCAAAUAUUCACAUUUUUACUGAUGAUCAGGUUUCAAAAAUGUUUAAACUUGUCUGAGGGAUUUUAUCUGAAUGACUCCAGAAUUCUUUUUUCAUUAUAGACAAGAUGGAGAUGAACAUUUAUCAAAAAUAAUACGUUUUCACCAUCAGGCAGGGUCAUGACUGGGCCAAAAGUUGGGCUAUUUUGUUUUCAGCUCAAUAAUUCCAAACAUGCAGCUCUACAGCGCUUAUGUCAGUCAUAACCUCGCACCUCAGGGAUGAUUGUCAAGCUUAAAUUUAUCCAUUCAUCAUCAUCAUCAUCAUCAUCCCUUUGUCACAGUGCCCAUUUGUGGUAAUUGAACAAAAAAACUCUUUGGCCCAUACCCCAAUCCCAACAAAAUGUCCACCAGCUUCAUCUCAGUUUCCAAAUAAGACUUUUAGAUGAUAAGAAAUGAUUUUAAGCUGUUGUAACUUCUGUGUGUAUAUUCUGCUU